GUUGUCCGAAGGUGACGAGGCGCUGGUCUCCGAACAGCUAAACCAGUUUAUGGGCAGCCUGGUUGAGCACAAAGAGGCUCUGUCUCCUGGCAGUCUCCAGACAGUGUGUAUGUUUGUGGAGGAAAGCAUGCUGGGACGAUCCUACUGGCGAAACAACCUGAUGUUGCUGCUGAAGAGCACCGCUGCCACGUUUGAUUCGAUG